rnacentral:rRNA from 1 species
CCUACGGGUGGCAGCAGUGGGGAAUAUUGCACAAUGGGGGAAACCCUGAUGCAGCGACGCCGCGUGAGUGAAGAAGUAUUUCGGUAUGUAAAGCUCUAUCAGCAGGGAAGAGAAUGACGGUACCUGAGCAAGAAGCCCCGGCUAACUACGUGACAGCAGCCGCGGUAAUACGUAGGGGGCAAGCGUUAUCCGGAUUUACUGGGUGUAAAGGGAGCGUUUACGGCGAAGAAAGUCUGAAGUGAAAGCCCGCGGCUCAACCGCGGAACUGCUUUGGACACUUGUUGGCUGGAGUACCGGAGAGGUAAGCGGAAUGCCUGGUGUAGCGGUGAAAUGUGUAGAUAUUAGGAGGAACACCAGUGGCGAAGGCGGCUUACUGGACGGUAACUGACGUUGAGGCUCGAAAGCGUGGGGAGCAAACAGGAUUAGAUACCCCUGUAGUC